UUGCGUCYGACAGAGUCGUCAAAGGCGAGAGAAAACACCAACAUCUUGACCUCAGAUCAGGCAAGGCUACCCGCUGAAUUUAAGCAUAUCAAUAAGCGGAGGAAAAGAAACUAACAAGGAUUCCCCCAGUAACGGCGAGUGAAGCGGGAA
rnacentral:rRNA from 1 species